GGUCUGAUGACGUCAGAGCAGCCACACGAUCACAACCGCAAAGGCUCUCGGGACAAACAUGACGCAUAAGGCAAGUUACAUCUUGCACGCCAUGACUGUGACAUUAUGGACUCAUGAACUUUUAGACACACACUCCACAGCAUCGUUUCAAAUUAGGGACUAAAAUACUUGCGGCUUAGACGUUCGUAUGUUGCUAUUUUAUUGUUGUUGUUGUUUUUUUAUUUGUUUUGUUGUACAUACCUCAUCUAAGUAGGUUGCAUUAAUCUUCACUCAACACGAGUCAGUUAACUCCAGCCACCAAACCCAUUUGAAUUGAUUUUGAAUAAAAGUUUUCUUUUGCUUUUGAGUUUAACAGGGUUCGCGGAAACGAUUGGGCUGUCUGUCUAGUCUGUCUAGCCUGUCCUGACAUGAUAGCCAGGCCAGGCAGACAGCCCAGUCGUUUCCUCAAACCCAGUUUAAGACUACUACACUCUAAAACAAUCCAACCAUACAGAAACAUGUAUAUACGGGAGUUUAUAUCAGGGUAUCGGUGUUUGAAGGAAAAAUUAGAUUCGCAUAUGUUAAGAUAUUUUAAGAUAUGAAAGUACAUUUAAGACGUGUGCAGAAUAGUUCUAUAUGUCCCGAAAGUUUUCUAUUCAGUUUAUUUCAUCGCUUGUACUUUAUAUUUUGCCUUAUGCGAUACUUUGAGUUGUGAGUGGUAAUGGCGAAUCCUGUGUAGUUUGCUGAUUUUGUACUUUUGUUACGGUUCAAUAUUUUCUUUGACAACGGGGCAAAGAGCCCUUGAACACACUACAUCGUAUUACUUUAAUUGUUAUUAUCAUUAAAAUCUCGUCGUUUGUUUACGUUUUAAUAUUUUGGUAAUAUAUUGAAAUGCAAUAAACUAAUAAUUCUAGAAGGCUUCAAA